CUCUUUUCUAUUAUUGAUCAACACAUUUUCCACUGUUAAACAGUCCUUUAAAGGGAAACAGGGGAGUUUGCAAAAUAGAUUAAAUAUAAAAGUUAUUAAAUGUGAAAAAGGAUUUAGCAAAUUUUAUAUCUACAUUAAGACAGAGGGGCAGAUACAGAUGUCUAAAAGCUGAAUGAACUGAAAUAAUUCAGCAAGAGCAGAGAAAAGGAGUGAUGUCACUAUGAGGAAGUGAGCAGGAAGUUGAUGCUGUGUUCAUCUCUGAGACUGUCUCAUUUGUGAACGUGAGAGCAAGAACAGAGACUGAGAGAGACAGAGAAGCACGAUGGCUGCAUUCACAUGGAUUCAAAUGUCUUCAUUACUGAUACUGAUGCUUCAGUUUAAAGGAACAACUGAGCAACAUCAAACUGUUCAAACUGUCACAGCUGGACGUGGACAUGAUGUUACUCUGCCUUGUAAAAAUGUGAUACAAGGUCAGCAUAACUGUAUCAGUACUACCUGGAUCUUCAGUGAUUCAAGCAGCUCAGUAGAACUCUUUGAACUUGGGCAGAAUAAAGAAGUCAAACCUGAAUCAGACAGACUGAGUCUUUCUGCAGACUGUUCUCUGGUUAUAAAGAAGGUCACAGAUCAGGAUGUUGGUCGUUACACCUGCAGACAGUUCAAAACAGCAACAGGAUCACAAGAAGGUCCAGACUUUAUGAUUCAUCUGUCUGUUAUUAACAAGCCGGUAACAACAAAAUCAACAACAGUGAAGUCCACCAAAAAAACAUCAUCGACAACAAAAUCCACAACAUCAACAAUUAAACCACCUGUGAAAAUAAACACAUUGACAACAAAAGAGGAAGUAAAGACAUCGCUGACAACAACAUCAAAUCAACCAGACGAUGUGAAAACAACUAAAUCAACAACAGUGAAGUUCACCACAAAAACAUCAUCGACAACAAAAUCCACAACAUCAACAAUUAAACCAACCGUGAAAAGAAACACAAGGACAACAAGAGAGGAAUUAAAGACAUCAGCAGGGACACUGACAACAGCAUCAAAUAAUCCAUCUGGAGUUCAUUCAGGGUUUAUCAUUGUUCCUGUGGGUUUAGCAGCUCUCUUAAUAACUGUUGUGAUGAUCAUCAGAUGGAAGAAAACUAAAGAAAAAAAAACACAAUGUGGCAACAACACGGGACUGAGCUUAAAUCCUGCAGAUACUCAGUCUGGUCCAGGAUCCAGUCAGGACACGGCAUAUGCUGAUGAUGGUGUUUCCUACGUCUCCAUCAGCUUCACCAAGAAGACCAAGAAUAAAUCCAGGUCCCGUGGUGAUGGUGAUGAAGGUGACACUGUGACCUACAGCACUGUGAAAGCUUCCUCUUCACCUGCUGGAGUUUCCACUGAUCCCAACAACCUCUACUCCACCAUCAAUUACGCAAGGAAAUAGGAUGUUAGUCAUGCUAAGUUUUUUAACUAUAUAGAUAGAUAGAUAGAUAGAUAGAUAGAUAGAUAGAUAGAUAGAUAGAUAGAUAUUUUUUCAGUUCACUUAUUAGUUUUGGUAACUCUGAGUCAAACAUUAAGUCUGAUUAUGUUUACUUGAGAAUACAAAGACUGCAGGAUUACUUUUUCAUACCACUGCAUGUGCUCAUAGAUUCAGUGGAUUACUUUGAACAAGGUGAACAUUAUAACAUUGAAUAUUAUUACAUUAAUAUUCACCUUAAGGUUUCUUAAAUCGAUUUAGGUCAUUUUUUAAUUUUUUUUAAGUAGAAUAUAAAAACAAGUAAACAAAAAACUAAACCAACACAAAACACAACGUUACAAAUAGUGUACUAGUGAAAAUAACAUGUCUGAUUGCACAUGCCUAGUUUGUGGGAUUAAUUUCAAUGUUAACCAGAAUCCUUAAAUAGUAGUUACUGUUUCAGGGCUCUGGUGAUGAUGUCUUACUAUGCCGUGCUGACCUGCUUUCCACCUUCAUGGUACAGUAAGCAGAAUCUGAGCUUUUGAAUGCAUGCUAAACUUUUUGCUAUAAAUAUACCAACACUGCAGCAGUGCUUUCAAUGAUAUCCUGUGAUUAUUGGAGUCAAUACAGUGACAUAAGUGUAUGGGUAAAAGUACACUUUGGUCUAUGCACAGACAAAGUAUGUGAUGGAACAGCAUGGUUAGCAGGUGACACAGCAAAUGUUCAGACUCACAUUUAUCUAACAGUGUUAGAUAAAUGAAAAUAUUCUGCACGUUCAUAUAAAUGAAUUAAUGAAACACUUCACUAAUAUUAACAUUAUAAACGAUCACAAUAGUGAUCUCCCUAUGACUGUUUAAUUCUGGAGCAAUUAGCACUAAAAACAGAACUGUGUAAAUGUUAGACUUUUCAUUAGGCUGACAUGUAGUAGUAAGUACAAAGUGUGAAGUAUAAGUAAACUGUUUUCUUUUCCAGUUUCAUUAGGAAAUUUAUGAUUACUCACUGUUUGUACACCAAACUUUAUGGUUCUUUCCCCCCAGUUUCUUAAAUUCUUAAGGACAGUGAAUUCAAGAAAAAAAAACAGCAAACAGACAUUUGUCACCAGCUGUCUUCAUGAGAAGUACACAGAAAGAAGAAGUGCAUGAUAUGUAUGUGGUCAGCAUUAGAGGGUUAAACCUCCAGAGCUCUGCAUAUCCUCACCAAACCACUUCCCCUUCAGAAACAAUACAUACCAAAAAAGAGACAGGAAAGAAAAUGUUCAAUGGGACCACCAAUAAAUUUUAAUGGGUUUUGUUGGUUGUUUUUGUGCGUUACUCUUUUCUGGCAUCAUUGUAUUAUACUCAAUUGUAUAUAGCAUUUCUAUUCUAUUUUAUUCUAUUGUAUGUAGUAUUUUAUUUUAUUCUAUUCUAUUAUGUACAGUUCUGCACAGUAUCUUAUUGAUAUCUUAUUCCAGUGGUUUUUUUUCUUCUAAUUUUUCUAUGUAACUUUGCACUGUCCACUGCUGUAACAAAACAAAUUUCCCACACGUGGGACUAAUAAAGGUUAUCUUAUCUUAUCUUAUCUUAUCUUAUCUUAUCUUAUCUUUUUCCUAAAUGUUAGCACUGGUGACAUGUGCUGCACAUUCCCUAUUUUAUCUUUUAUGAUGGAUAAUAUCUGCUGUAUCUCGGUUAUUGAGCUGGGAGAGGACAUCAGUGACAGUAACUGAUGUUUUAUUACAUAGUAUGUUUUUUUUUAUUUCAUUUUUUGCAGUCUGUCUGAGACCUCAGAGCCCAGUAUCAACUAGCAUUUAAUGUUCUCUCCAGUUAUCCUUCCUGUUCUUUCAUCUUCAAUUUUAAAUAUUUAAUUAAUGUUUGAACAGUUUUGUUUGUACUGACCCUUUUCUUAAAUAAUGCAUGAAUGGCUCUCCUUACAUUUCAGCUGUUAUAUGAUUGCAAAUUAUACUCAGACAGCAUUAAAAAAACAAGAUAAAAUGAUCUAAUAUAUGUUUAGAAUUGUGUGAAAACCUCAACAUAGUAUAUUCUCACACUCAUCAGUGUGUUAACCAUUUAUCUGUCAGAGGUUCAUCUGGUCAUCAUGAAACCUCCAGAGCUCUGCUGCUGUUGGACCCACAUUCUCACCAAAACACUUCCCCUUCACUUCUCAGAA
ensembl:lncRNA